rnacentral:rRNA from 1 species
UACGGAGGAGGCAGGCGUUAUCCGGAAUUAUUGGGCGUAAAGCGUCCGUAGAUGGUUUUGUCAGUCUGCUGUCAAAGCACAGGGCUUAACCCUGUAAAGGCAGUGGAAACUACAAGACUAGAGUGCAGUAGGGGCAGAGGGAAUUCCCAAUGUAGCGGUGAAAUGCGUAGAGAUUGGGAAGAACAUCCGUGGCGAAAGCGCUCUGCUGGACUGCAACUGACAUUGAGGGACGAAAGCUAGGGGAGCGAAUGGG